rnacentral:rRNA from 1 species
GAACGCUGGCGGCGUGCUUAACACAUGCAAGUCGAACGUAGCUUUAUCACUACGAUCCCGUUCGGGGUGACGGUUUUUAAAGCGAGUGGCGGACGGGUGAGUAACGCGUGGAUAACCUGCCAUACACUGGGGGAUAACAGCUGGAAACAGCUGCUAAUACCGCAUAAAACUGUAGAGUCGCAUGACUUUAUAGCCAAAGCUCCGGCGGUGUAUGAUGGAUCCGCGUCUGAUUAGCUAGUUGGAGGGGUAACGGCCCACCAAGGCGACGAUCAGUAGCCGGUCUGAGAGGAUGAACGGCCACAUUGGGACUGAGACACGGCCCAGACUCCUACGGGAGGCAGCAGUGGGGAAUCUUCCACAAUGGGUGAAAACCUGAUGGAGCAAUGCCGCGUGAAUGAAGAAGGUCUUCGGAUCGUAAAGUUCUGUUAUUAGAGAAGAACAAGUCAAGGAGUAACUGUCUUGACUUUGACGGUACCUAACCAGAAAGUCACGGCUAACUACGUG